AAGUGUUACAGCUCUUUUAGAAUUUGUCUAGCAGAUUUUCAGGGGGGGUUUCCCGGAAAACCUCC
ensembl:snRNA U7 U7 small nuclear RNA